UACGGAGGGUGCAAGCGUUAAUCGGAUUUAUUGGGCGUAAAGGGCGCGUAGGCGGGGUGGACAGUUAGAUGUGAAAGCCCGGGGCUCAACUCCGGACCCGCAUCUAAUACUACCAACCUAGAGGAUGGACGGAGAAAAGGGAAUUCCACGUGUAGCGGUGAAAUGCGUAGAUAUGUGGAAGAACACCAGUGGCGAAAGCGCUUUUCUAGUUUAUUCCUGACGCUGAGGCGCGAAAGCAAGGGGAGCAAACAGG
rnacentral:misc_RNA from 1 species